rnacentral:rRNA from 1 species
GACGAACGCUGGCGGCGUGCUUAACACAUCCUAGUCGAACGGAAAGGCCCUGCUUUUGUGGGGUGCUCGAGUGGCGAACGGGUGAGUAACACGUGAGUAACCUGCCCUUGACUUUGGGAUAACUUCAGGAAACUGGGGCUAAUACCGGAUAGGAGCUCCUGCUGCAUGGUGGGGGUUGGAAAGUUUCGGCGGUUGGGGAUGGACUCGCGGCUUAUCAGCUUGUUGGUGGGGUAGUGGCUUACCAAGGCUUUGACGGGUAGCCGGCCUGAGAGGGUGACCGGCCACAUUGGGACUGAGAUACGGCCCAGACUCCUACGGGAGGCAGCAGUGGGGAAUAUUGCACAAUGGGCGGAAGCCUGAUGCAGCAACGCCGCGUGCGGGAUGACGGCCUUCGGGUUGUAAACCGCUUUCGCCUGUGACGAAGCGUGAGUGACGGUAAUGGGUAAAGAAGCACCGGCUAACUACGUGCCAGCAGCCGCGGUGAUACGUAGGGUGCGAGCGUUGUCCGGAUUUAUUGGGCGUAAAGGGCUCGUAGGUGGUUGAUCGCGUCGGAAGUGUAAUCUUGGGGCUUAACCCUGAGCGUGCUUUCGAUACGGGUUGACUUGAGGAAGGUAGGGGAGAAUGGAAUUCCUGGUGGAGCGGUGGAAUGCGCAGAUAUCAGGAGGAACACCAGUGGCGAAGGCGGUUCUCUGGGCCUUUCCUGACGCUGAGGAGCGAAAGCGUGGGGAGCGAACAGGCUUAGAUACCCUGGUAGUCCACGCUGUAAACGGUGGGUACUAGGUGUGGGGUCCAUUCCACGGGUUCCGUGCCGUAGCUAACGCUUUAAGUACCCCGCCUGGGGAGUACGGCCGCAAGGCUAAAACUCAAAGGAAUUGACGGGGCCCCGCACAAGCGGCGGAGCAUGCGGAUUAAUUCGAUGCAACGCGUAGAACCUUACCUGGGUUUGACAUGGAUCGGGAGUGCUCAGAGAUGGGUGUGCCUCUUUUGGGGUCGGUUCACAGGUGGUGCAUGCCUGUCGUCAGCUCGUGUCGUGAGAUGUUGGGUUAAGUCCCGCAACGAGCGCAACCCUUGUUCACUGUUGCCAGCACGUUAUGGUGGGGACUCAGUGGAGACCGCCGGGGUCAACUCGGAGGAAGGUGGGGAUGACGUCAAGUCCUCAUGCCCCUUAUGUCCAGGGCUUCACGCAUGCUACAAUGGCUGGUACAGAGAGUGGCGAGCCUGUGAGGGUGAGCGAAUCUCGGAAAGCCGGUCUCAGUUCGGAUUGGGGUCUGCAACUCGACCUCAUGAAGUCGGAGUCGCUAGUAAUCGCAGAUCAGCAACGCUGCGGUGAAUACAUUCCCGGGGCU